UUUGGAGAGUUUGAUCCUGGCUCAGGGUUAACGCUGGCGGUGUGUAUAAUACAUGCAAGUCGAGCGCCCAGCACUUUGUUUCUAAGGAACUUCUUUAGAGAUAAGGUGCUGGGAGCGGCGAACGGGUGAGGAACACGUUGGUAGCUACCCCAUACUCAGGGAUACCCCAUCGAAAGGUGGGCUAAUACCGGAUGGCCCCGCAAGGGUAAAGCUUUUGCGGUAUGGGAGGCGCCUGCGGCCUAUCAGCUUGUUGGNNUGGUCUGAGAGGACGACCAGCCACAGUGAGACUGAGACACGGCUCACACUCCUACGGGAGGCAGCAGUAAAGAAUCUUCCGCAAUGGGCGAAAGCCUGACGGAGCAACACCGCGUGAUUGAUGACGCCCUUCGGGGUGUAAAGAUCUUUUCUGGGGGAAGAAUUCUGACGGUACCCUAGGAAUAAGCACCGGCUAAACUCGUGCCAGCAGCCGCGGUAAUACGAGUGGUGCAAGCGUUACCCGGAAUUAUUGGGCGUAAAGCGUCCGCAG
rnacentral:rRNA from 1 species